rnacentral:rRNA from 1 species
UACAGAGGGUGCGAGCGUUGUUCGGAAUUAUUGGGCGUAAAGGGCGCGUAGGCGGUGCGGUAAGUCACCUGUGAAAUCUCCUGGCUCAACUGGGAGCUUGCAGGCGAAACUGCCGUGCUGGAGUGUGGGAGAGGUGCGUGGAAUUCCUGGUGUAGCGGUGAAAUGCGUAGAUAUCGAGAGGAACACCUGCGGCGAAGGCGGGUUGCUGGGCCGACACUGACGCUGAUGCGCGAAAGCCAGGGGAGCAAACGGG